ensembl:snRNA U6 U6 spliceosomal RNA
AUAUUGUAAUCUAGUAUGCAUAAAAACCUGUCUUUUUACUCAGAGGAGAUUAGCAUGGCCCCUGCAAAAGGAUGACAUGCAAAUCCGUGAUGCGCUCCAUCUAUGG